UACGUAGGGGGCGAGCGUUAUCCGGAUUUAUUGGGCGUAAAGGGUGCGUAGGCGGUAUGUUAAGUCUAAAAUCAAAGCCCGAGGCUUAACCUCGGUUCGUUUUAGAAACUGGCAAACUAGAGUGCAGUAGAGGCAAGUGGAAUUUCUAGUGUAGCGGUUAAAUGCGUAGAUAUUAGAAGGAACACCAGUGGCGAAGGCGGCUUGCUGGGCAGUAACUGACGCUGAGGCACGAAAGCGUGGGGAGCAAAUAGG
rnacentral:rRNA from 1 species